rnacentral:rRNA from 1 species
AGCCAUGCAUGUCUAAGUAUAAGUAUUUAUAUAGCGAAACUGCGAAUGGCUCAUUAAAUCAGUUAUAGUUUAUUUGAUUGUACCUUUUUUUUUACUUGGAUAACCGUAGUAAUUCUAGAGCUAAUACAUGCUAAAAACCCUAACUUUAUGGAAAGGGUGCAUUUAUUAGAUACAAAAACCGAUGUAUUAUUUCUUUCGAGGGAUAAUGCCUUGUGAUGACUCAUGAUAACUUUGCGAAUCGCAUAGCUUCGUGCUGGCGAUAAAUCAUUCAAAUUUCUGACCUAUCAACUUUCGAUGGUAGUGUAGUGGACUACCAUGGUUAUAACGGGUAACGGAGGAUUAGGGUUCGAUUCCGGAGAGGGUGCCUGAGAAAUGGCAACCACUUCCAAGGAAGGCAGCAGGCGCGCAAAUUACCCAAUCGCAAUACGCGGAGGUAGUGACAAUAAAUAACAAUACAGGUCCCGACAAGGGACUUGUAAUUGGAAUGAGUACAAUUUAAACCCCUUAACAAGGAACAAUUGGAGGACAAGUCUGGUGCCAGCACCCGCGGUAAUUCCAGCUCCAAUAGCGUAUAUUAAAGUUGUUGCAGUUAAAAAGCUCGUAGUUGGAUUUUGGAGGUUCAUGGUGAAGUUUGAUUAAGUGGGGUUUCGCGAUCACAUUUAAUUUUAAAACUCAUAUGUUUCAGGGAAUAAAGGUAAUGAGUUGGGGAAAGGAAGGGAUUUUCUCUUUCUUUUCUUUAUUUAUUAUCUCCUUGAAAAUGGGAACCGGUCUACUUGAAUCUUUUUUUGGGUUCAAGUGUGCACUGUUCUCAGACCUCUUCUUUUAGUCAGUCCACUUCUGCUCUUAAGUGAGUGGUGGUGAGGCUCCUAAUCGUUUACUUUGAAAAAUUAGAGUGUUUAAAGCAGCGAAUUAGCCUUGAUACNUUAGCAUGGGAUACGAAACACGACNGGAGACUUGUUUCGUUGGUUUAAAAAAGAAAGAAUUUAUUUNNUUUUCUUUUGAGUCUCAGNAUGAUUAA